UAAUAACAACGGCUUAAUCUAGUCAACUAGAGCGGGGGAGCUUUUUAUUGGGGUGAAUCGCAUUCUAAGCGUAGGGCUUACACCUUUUUGCCCGAAUCCGUCAACUAACCUCGUAAGCUGAGAAAGGUGAUAAU
rnacentral:sRNA from 2 species